rnacentral:rRNA from 1 species
GAACUUUCCAGAGAUGGAUUGGUGCCUUCGGGAACUUAGAUACAGGUGCUGCAUGGCUGUCGUCAGCUCGUGUCGUGAGAUGUUGGGUUAAGUCCCGNAACGAGCGCAACCUUUUCCUAUUUGCCAGCGGGUCAUGCCGGGAACUUUAAGGAUACUGCCAGUGACAAACUGGAGGAAGGCGGGGACGACGUCAAGUCAUCAUGGCCCUUACGGCCAGGGCUACACACGUGCUACAAUGGUCGGUACAAAGGGUUGCUACCUCGCGAGAGGAUGCUAAUCUCAAAAAGCCGAUCGUAGUCCGGAUCGCAGUCUGCAACUCGACUGCGUGAAGUCGGAAUCGCUAGUAAUCGCGGAUCAGAAUGCCGCGGUGAAUACGUUCCCGGGCCUUGUACACACCGCCCGUCACACCAUGGGAGUUUGUUGCACCAGAAGUAGGUAGUCUAACCGCAAGGAGGACGCUUACCACGGUGUGGCCGAUGACUGGGGUGAAGUCGUAACAAGGUAGGCGUAGAUGA